GGACGAACGCUGGCGGCGUGCUUAACCCAUGCAAGUCGAACGGAAAGGCCCUGCUUUUGUGGGGUGCUCGAGUGGCGAACGGGUGAGUAACACGUGAGUAACCUGCCCUUGAAUUUGGGAUAACUUCAGGAAACUGGGGCUAAUACCGGAUAGGAGCUCCUGCUGCAUGGUGGGGGUUGGAAAGUUUCGGCGGUUGGGGAUGGACUCGCGGCCUAUCAGCUUGUUGGUGGGGUAGUGGCUUACCAAGGCUUUGACGGGUAGCCGGCCUGAGAGGGUGACCGGCCACAUUGGGACUGAGAUACGGCCCAGAGUCCUACGGGAGGCAGCAGUGGGGAAUAUUGCACAAUGGGCGGAAGCCUGAUGCAGCAACGCCGCGUGCGGGAUGACGGCCUUCGGGUUGUAAACCGCUUUCGCCUGUGACGAAGCGUGAGUGACGGUAAUGGGUAAAGAAGCACCGGCUAACUACGUG
rnacentral:rRNA from 1 species